rnacentral:rRNA from 1 species
UGAGGAAUAUUGGGCAAUGGGCGCAAGCCUGACCCAGCCACGCCGCGUGUGUGAUGAAGGCCUUCGGGUCGUAAAGCACUGUGGGGAGGGAUGAACCUGUGCGGGAGGAAAUGCCUGCGCACUGACAGUACCUCCUAGCAAGCACCGGCUAACUCUGUGCCAGCAGCCGCGGUAAUACAGAGGGUGCGAACGUUGCUCGGAUUUACUGGGCGUAAAGCGCGUGUAGGCGGACAAGCAAGUCGGUUGUGAAAUCCCUGGGCUCAACCUAGGAACUGCAUCCGAAACUGCUUGUCUUGAGUAAUGGAGAGGGUGGCGGAAUUCCCGGUGUAGAGGUGAAAUUCGUAGAUAUUCGGAGGAACACCAGUGGCGAAGGCGGCUCACUGGCUCGAUACUGACGCUGAGGUGCGAAAGUGUGGGGAGCAAACAGGAUUAGAUACCCCUGUAGUCC